rnacentral:rRNA from 1 species
GUUGGUUGUCGUCAGCUCGUGUCGUGAGAUGUUGGGUUAAGUCCCGCAACGAGCGCAACCCCUACGUUUAGUUGCUAACGCGUGAAGGCGAGCACUCUAGACGAACUGCCGUUGACAAAACGGAGGAAGUGGGAUGACGUCAAAUCAUCAUGCCCUUAUGUUCUGGGCUACACACGUGCUACAAUGGCCGGUACAGACGGAGGCGAAGCCGCGAGGCGGAGCAAAUCCGAAAAAGCCGGUCUCAGUUCGGAUUGCAGGCUGCAAUUCGCCUGCAUGAAGUCGGAAUCGCUAGUAAUCGCAGGUCAGCAUACUGCGGUGAAUACGUUCCGGGCCUU